rnacentral:rRNA from 1 species
GACGAACGCUGGCGGCGUGCUUAACACAUGCAAGUCGAACGGGCCUGUCUUCUUUUUUGGGGGUGGGUUGAGUGGCGAACGGGUGAGUAUCACGUGAGUAACCUGCCCUUCGGUCCUGGAUAACCGCUUGAAAGGGCGGCUAAUACGGGGUGGUCCGGUUGGUCCGCAUGGGCUGGUCGGGAUAGAUUCACUGUUUUUGGUGUUUCGGCGGGGGAUGGGCUCGCGGCCUAUCCGCUUGUUGGUGGGGUGAUGGCCUACCAAGGCGGUGACGGGUAGCCGGUCUGAGAGGGUGGGCGGCCACACUGGGACUGAGAUCCGGCCCAGGCUCCUGCGGGAGGCAGCAGUGGGGGGUAUUGCACAAUGGGCGGAAGCCUGAUGCAGCGACGUCGCGUGAGGGAUGGAGGCCUUCGGGUUGUGAACCUCUGUUUCCGGUGGUGAAGGCCCUGUCCGUGUGGUGGGGUUGACGGUAGCCGGGGAUGAAGCGCCGGCUAACUACGUG